rnacentral:rRNA from 1 species
UAGUGAUUAACGCGAAGAACCUUACCUGGGCUAGACAACGGCGGACAGUCCUAGAAAUAGGGCCUUCCCUUCGGGGACCGCCGGUUCAGGUGCUGCAUGGCUGUCGUCAGCUCGUGCCGUGAGGUGUUGGGUUAAGUCCCGCAACGAGCGCAACCCUCGCCCUUAGUUGCCACCAUUCAGUUGGGCACUCUAGGGGGACUGCCGGCGUUAAGCCGGAGGAAGGUGGGGACGACGUCAAGUCAUCAUGGCCCUUAUGUCCAGGGCCACACACGUGCUACAAUGGGCGGUACAAAGGGUCGCGAACCCGCGAGGGGGAGCCAAUCCCAAAAAGCCGCUCUCAGUUCAGAUUGGAGUCUGCAACUCGACUCCAUGAAGUUGGAAUCGCUAGUAAUCGCGGAUCAGCACGCCGCGGUGAAUACGUUCCCGGGCCUUGUCACACCGAAUCGAAUUC